rnacentral:lncRNA from 1 species
CUUACCAACACUUACAUGUAUUCACCCUAAUUAGCUCAUGUGAAAAGGAUCUUCCUGUAUUUCUAACAAGUAUAAUUUGGAGAGUAGAUAGAUCUCAGGGAAGGAUUUUGGAGCAUGCCAAAUGAAUUACUGGACUCAGUCCAUUCUCUAACUUAACAUCACUCGCUUACUUAGCAGUACGUGAUGUUGGUGAGAAGAACCAGCAGAGGACACAGGAAGUAGAAGAAGAGCUCACAUCUGUCCACGAUUUAUAUUGCAUUUCAGUUUAUGUGGUCAUUGGAGACUCAGUUUGUGAAGCUGAGAAGUGCUUUGAAGAGGGAAGCAGGGAAGAGGGCAAGGAAAGAAGGGGAGGAUGAGAAGCAAAGUACUUUUGAAGAAGAAGCACAGCAGGAGAG